rnacentral:rRNA from 1 species
GGUCAAGUGAAGAAGCGCAUACGGUGGAUGCCUUGGCAGUCAGAGGCGAUGAAAGACGUGGUAGCCUGCGAAAAGCUUCGGGGAGUCGGCAAACAGACUUUGAUCCGGAGAUCUCUGAAUGGGGGAACCCACCUAGGAUAACCUAGGUAUCUUGUACUGAAUCCAUAGGUGCAAGAGGCGAACCAGGGGAACUGAAACAUCUAAGUACCCUGAGGAAAAGAAAUCAACCGAGAUUCCCUUAGUAGUGGCGAGCGAACGGGGAUUAGCCCUUAAGCUUCAUUGAUUUUAGCGGAACGCUCUGGAAAGUGCGGCCAUAGUGGGUGAUAGCCCCGUACGCGAAAGGAUCUUUGAAGUGAAAUCGAGUAGGACGGAGCACGAGAAACUUUGUCUGAACAUGGGGGGACCAUCCUCCAAGGCUAAAUACUACUGACUGACCGAUAGUGAACCAGUACCGUGAGGGAAAGGCGAAAAGAACCCCGGAGAGGGGAGUGAAAUAGAACCUGAAACCGUAUGCGUACAAGCAGUGGGAGCCUACUUGUUAGGUGACUGCGUACCUUUUGUAUAAUGGGUCAGCGACUUAUAUUCAGUGGCAAGCUUAACCGUAUAGGGUAGGCGUAGCGAAAGCGAGUCUUAAUAGGGCGUUUAGUCGCUGGGUAUAGACCCGAAACCGGGCGAUCUAUCCAUGAGCAGGUUGAAGGUUAGGUAACACUGACUGGAGGACCGAACCCACUCCCGUUGAAAAGGUAGGGGAUGACUUGUGGAUCGGAGUGAAAGGCUAAUCAAGCUCGGAGAUAGCUGGUUCUCCUCGAAAGCUAUUUAGGUAGCGCCUCAUGUAUCACUCUGGGGGGUAGAGCACUGUUUCGGCUAGGGGGUCAUCCCGACUUACCAAACCGAUGCAAACUCCGAAUACCCAGAAGUGCCGAGCAUGGGAGACACACGGCGGGUGCUAACGUCCGUCGUGAAAAGGGAAACAACCCAGACCGCCAGCUAAGGUCCGAUUCUGUUGAAAAAGUAGCGGCCUCUCCAUGCCGUUGGCAAAAUUGCUCUGUCAGCGAGCGUGGGGGCGAACAGCAUGAUGGGGCAGUUACCGGGAGGACAGCAGCGCCUGUUCUACUCGUUCAACCUAGAAGAUCACGUCCCGGCUCAACACCUCCUGCGCAGCAUCGACCAGUGCCUGGAUCUUAGUGAUCUGCGCGCCUACCUGGCGGACUUCUAUAGUCCCAUCGGACGCCCCUCGAUUGACCCGGAAUUGAUGGUGCGCAUGCUGGUCGUCGGCUACUGCUAUGGCAUUCGUUCCGAGCGGCGAUUGUGCGAAGAGGUGCACCUGAACCUGGCCUAUCGCUGGUUCUGCCGGCUGGGUCUGGAAGACGAAGUCCCCAAUCACUCGACCUUCUCGAAGAAUCGCCAUGGGCGUUUUCGUGACAGCGAUCUGUUCCGCUGGUUGUUCAAUGAGGUGCUGCGGCGUUGCAUGGCAGCCGGCCUAGUCAAGGGCGAAGGUUUUGCCGUCGACGCUAGCAUCAUCAAGGCGGAUGCCAGCCGGCAACGUGGGGUAGCGGGAGAUGAGGUCGAUUGGAACGAUCCAAAGCUCAGCAGCCGCGCAGUGCGCGAGUACCUCGAAGCCCUUGAUGAAGAGGCGCUGGCUGAGGCUCUUCCCAAGAAAAUUUCGCUCACAGAUCCUCAGUCCCGUUGGACAGCAGCGCCAGGUGGGCCGGCCUUUUUUGCCUACUCCACGAAUUACCUGAUCGACACUGAGCACGGUGUGAUCAUGGACGUGGAAGCUACCCCGGCGCACCGUACCGCCGAAGUCGAUUCGACUAGGACGAUGGUCGAGCGUGUCAAAGCUCAGUUCGAUCUCACACCGGAACGCCUUAUCGGCGAUACCGCUUAUGGCACCGCCCCGAUGCUGGCCUGGAUGGUCGAAGAAAAGGACAUCGAGCCGCAUGUGCCGGUGUGGGACAAGACUGAGCGCAAGGGCGACAGCCUCUCCAGUAACGACUUCCACUGGAACCAGGAGGCCAAUGAAUACCGCUGCCCAGCCGGCAAACCACUACGCAGUGAGUGGCGCGCCUUCACCCAGAAAAGAUCGCGGGUGACCAAGGCCAACACCAUCAUUUAUCGCUCCAGCCAAACCGACUGCACUACCUGUCCGCUGAAAGCGAAAUGCUGCCCCAACACGCCGAAUCGGAAGAUCGUCCGCAGUAUCCAUGAGGCUGCCCGCGAUGUGGCCAGGCGCAUCGCCAAGACACCGGAAUACCUCGUCUCUCGCUGCGAACGAAAGAAGGUGGAGAUGCUGUUCGCCCACCUCAAACGGAUCAUGAAACUCGAUCGUUUACGACUGCGCGGCCUGACAGGUGCCACUGACGAAUUCACUUUGGCGGCGGCGGUGCAGAACCUGCGACGCAUGGCCAAGCUUUUGCCUCAAGGGCCACCGCUCACGGGAUAGGUACGCCUGCUGAGAGCAGAAACCUUCAAAUUAACCCUCAGGCCUGAGCAAGGACGCUCAGCGAAACGCCGAAAGGCAACCUGAAGUGGCUUGCAGUCACUUCGACAGCAGGCACACCUGAUCGGCAGGCCGCCGCUAAACCUACUUUUUCAACAGAAUCGUCCCAAAGUUGUGGUUAAGUGGUAAACGAUGUGGGAAGGCUUAGACAGCUAGGAGGUUGGCUUAGAAGCAGCCACCCUUUAAAGAAAGCGUAAUAGCUCACUAGUCGAGUCGGCCUGCGCGGAAGAUGUAACGGGGCUCAAACCACACACCGAAGCUGCGGGUGUCACGUAAGUGACGCGGUAGAGGAGCGUUCUGUAAGCCUGUGAAGGUGAGUUGAGAAGCUUGCUGGAGGUAUCAGAAGUGCGAAUGCUGACAUGAGUAACGACAAUGGGUGUGAAAAACACCCACGCCGAAAGACCAAGGGUUCCUGCGCAACGUUAAUCGACGCAGGGUUAGUCGGUUCCUAAGGCGAGGCUGAAAAGCGUAGUCGAUGGGAAACAGGUUAAUAUUCCUGUACUUCUGGUUACUGCGAUGGAGGGACGGAGAAGGCUAGGCCAGCUUGGCGUUGGUUGUCCAAGUUUAAGGUGGUAGGCUGAAAUCUUAGGUAAAUCCGGGGUUUCAAGGCCGAGAGCUGAUGACGAGUCGUCUUUUAGAUGACGAAGUGGUUGAUGCCAUGCUUCCAAGAAAAGCUUCUAAGCUUCAGGUAACCAGGAACCGUACCCCAAACCGACACAGGUGGUCGGGUAGAGAAUACCAAGGCGCUUGAGAGAACUCGGGUGAAGGAACUAGGCAAAAUGGCACCGUAACUUCGGGAGAAGGUGCGCCGGCUAGGGUGAAGGAUUUACUCCGUAAGCUCUGGCUGGUCGAAGAUACCAGGCCGCUGCGACUGUUUAUUAAAAACACAGCACUCUGCAAACACGAAAGUGGACGUAUAGGGUGUGACGCCUGCCCGGUGCCGGAAGGUUAAUUGAUGGGGUUAGCGCAAGCGAAGCUCUUGAUCGAAGCCCCGGUAAACGGCGGCCGUAACUAUAACGGUCCUAAGGUAGCGAAAUUCCUUGUCGGGUAAGUUCCGACCUGCACGAAUGGCGUAACGAUGGCGGCGCUGUCUCCACCCGAGACUCAGUGAAAUUGAAAUCGCUGUGAAGAUGCAGUGUAUCCGCGGCUAGACGGAAAGACCCCGUGAACCUUUACUGUAGCUUUGCACUGGACUUUGAGCCUGCUUGUGUAGGAUAGGUGGGAGGCUUUGAAGCGUGGACGCCAGUUCGCGUGGAGCCAUCCUUGAAAUACCACCCUGGCAUGCUUGAGGUUCUAACUCUGGUCCGUAAUCCGGAUCGAGGACAGUGUAUGGUGGGCAGUUUGACUGGGGCGGUCUCCUCCUAAAGAGUAACGGAGGAGUACGAAGGUGCGCUCAGACCGGUCGGAAAUCGGUCGCAGAGUAUAAAGGCAAAAGCGCGCUUGACUGCGAGACAGACACGUCGAGCAGGUACGAAAGUAGGUCUUAGUGAUCCGGUGGUUCUGUAUGGAAGGGCCAUCGCUCAACGGAUAAAAGGUACUCCGGGGAUAACAGGCUGAUACCGCCCAAGAGUUCAUAUCGACGGCGGUGUUUGGCACCUCGAUGUCGGCUCAUCACAUCCUGGGGCUGAAGCCGGUCCCAAGGGUAUGGCUGUUCGCCAUUUAAAGUGGUACGCGAGCUGGGUUUAGAACGUCGUGAGACAGUUCGGUCCCUAUCUGCCGUGGACGUUUGAGAUUUGAGAGGGGCUGCUCCUAGUACGAGAGGACCGGAGUGGACGAACCUCUGGUGUUCCGGUUGUCACGCCAGUGGCAUUGCCGGGUAGCUAUGUUCGGAAAAGAUAACCGCUGAAAGCAUCUAAGCGGGAAACUUGCCUCAAGAUGAGAUCUCACUGGGAACUUGAUUCCCCUGAAGGGCCGUCGAAGACUACGACGUUGAUAGGCUGGGUGUGUAAGCGUUGUGAGGCGUUGAGCUAACCAGUACUAAUUGCCCGUGAGGCUUGACCAU